rnacentral:lncRNA from 1 species
UUUUCAGAAUGAAGAUGAUCAUUAUUUUUGUUGUCUUGAUGUUUUGUUACGUGAACCAAGCAGUUGGGAAAACAUACUUGAUACAAACUGGGUUAAGUAAAAAGGGAUGAUGAAUUUACCGGAAUAGAUUACAAUAAUUACAAAUAUAACUUGCAAGAGUUUAUUGCGAACAAUCCUAAAGGAAGCAAACCAAAAAAGAAAGGUUAGUGGAAGGUUUGAUGCUUCAGAUCUAAAUAAGGUUCUGAAGAACGAAAAUCUGACGAACACACCAGAUGCAAACCUGGAAUUUAUUGAAAAUUUUAAAAAUCAAAUGUUCAUAUAAGUUUCAAAUUUAAAAUGUUAAUAUAUUUUCGAAUAAUA